GAUGAACGCUGGCGGCGUGCCUAAUACAUGCAAGUCGAGCGAACGGACGAGAAGCUUGCUUCUCUGAUGUUAGCGGCGGACGGGUGAGUAACACGUGGAUAACCGACCUAUAAGACUGGGAUAACUUCGGGAAACCGGAGCUAAUACCGGAUAAUAUUUUGAACCGCAUGGUUCAAAAGUGAAAGACGGUCUUGCUGUCACUUAUAGAUGGAUCCGCGCUGCAUUAGCUAGUUGGUAAGGUAACGGCUUACCAAGGCAACGAUGCAUAGCCGACCUGAGAGGGUGAUCGGCCACACUGGAACUGAGACCCGGUCCCGACUCCUACGGGAGGCAGCAGUAGGGAAUCUUCCGCAAUGGGCGCAAGCCUGACGGAGCAACGCCGCGUGAGUGAUGAAGGUCUUCGGAUCGUAAAACGCUGUUAUUAGGGAAGAACAUAUGUGUAAGUAACUGUGCACAUCCUGACGGUACCUAAUCAGAAAGCCACGGCUAACUACGUG
rnacentral:rRNA from 1 species